GGUUUUAGCAUCAGCCUCUUAUCUUGCUUUUGAACCUUGCCCCCUUGACUUCGUUUAGGUUUUCCUCUACUUUUAAAUUCAAAAUUGCCUUUUUAAGUGUCUUGGCAUUCUUAUUCUGGCUAAUUUGCUCUUUACUCCGACAUUCACAUACGCACUACCGACUUUAGGAUCAGAGUACAGACUGAUACUCCAAUACCAGGACAUUGCAACGGUUACAAUGGCCCGACCAACGUCUCUCUUUCCUUCAUCAACGCAGGAAAUGCAACGUGUUUUACGACUGGCUAUAAUUUCUAGGAUUCUAGUGUUGGGUCUUAUUAUCAUUUGCAGGUGCAUAGCCGGCCCCUAUGACACAUCAGCCUCGUUGGAUCCACCUUGCCUAACAAAAUUAAGCAUGCUGGAUCGCUAUGCAAGGAAACAGGAACAAACAGAUCUUGCCCACAAGCUGGGCAAGGCCAUAGAGGCUACAGUUGUGUGGGAUUCAGUCUACUAUGUUAGAAUUGCUCAAUGUGGGUAUGAAUAUGAGCAAACUUAUGCGUUUCUACCUCUUCUUCCCCUCUCCAUGUUGUUUUUAUCCAAAACAGUUUUAGCUCCACUGAUCCCCGUGUUGGGACAGAGGGCCGUAUUGGCUUUGUCUGGGUAUAUUCUCAACAAUAUUGCCUUUGUAUUUGCGGGCCUUUUUUUGUAUAAGCUAACACUACUUGUUUUGAAAGACCCCAAGCUGGCACUUCGUACAGUAGCUCUUUUCUGUUUCAAUCCUGCUUCCAUAUUCUAUUCUUCAAUAUAUUCGGAAAGCUUAUUCUCUCUUCUAUCAUUCGCUGGCAUCUAUUUCCUACUCUCUGGAAUGAAUUGGAAGGCAACACUCUUGUUUGCCAUGUCUAGUGCUGUGAGGUCCAAUGGUGUGAUCAAUGCAGGAUUUAUUCUUUUUCAGGCAAUGCAUCAGGCUUAUGAAGCUUUUUUCCGGCAAAAGCUGGUCUUGUUGGCAUUACAGGUUCUUUUUGUUGCUUGUCUACGAUCAGUGUGUGUCUUUGCUCCAUUCCUGUUUUUUCAAUUAUAUGGAUUCUUAAAUAUUUGUCAUGGCGAGUCAUCGUCUCAAGGAAGCAGACCCUGGUGUACAGCUAAUGUUCCUUAUCUAUAUGGUUUUGUUCAAAGCCAUUACUGGGAGGUUGGCUUCUUGCGCUAUUUCCAGCUUAAGCAAUUACCCAACUUUCUUCUAGCAUCACCAAUGUUGUUGCUAGGGGCUUGUUCAGUUAUUGAAUAUGCAGUGAAAAAUUCCUGGCUUCUUUUCUCUUUAGGAUUUAAAGCUUCUUAUGCAGAGAGGGAAACAGCUUCUAUAUUCUAUUUUGUACAGAGGAGGAAAAAAUUGAAUGAGAUUGCCAUGCGGACAGAAGAGUUUCCUAAUUCAGCAUUUACACUUUCAUCGGCAUCUGAGAAUGUGCACAUUCGAAAGGGAGCAAAAAUGAAUAAACAUACAAAUAUACAGGCUGUCACUGGUGUUGAGCAUUCAAAUGAAAAUUUUAGUAGCUCUCAGAUGGAAAAAGGGUUAUUCUCAUGUUUAACAGUUCCAUUUAUACUACAGCUAGCUUUCAUGAUUUUUAUUGCAUGCUUUGUCAUGCAUGUACAGGUUGCAACACGUUUCUUGUCUGUGAGUCCUCCAAUAUAUUGGUUUGCAUCAUACUUUAUGGAAUCCUCUCAAAUUGGUUUCAAGUUGGGAUACAUUGUAUGGACAGUUUUUUUGAGCUAUUUGUUUGUUGGUUGUUUACUUUUCCCAAACUUUUAUCCUUUCACAUGAGCAGGAGCAAUGUUUCUUUCUUAUUCAGGCUUUUCACAUUUUAUAUAAAUCAUCGUAUGUUACUACUCUUUGAAAUGUUAGCAACGUUCAUGGCUCCUAUCCAAUGCUCUUUCAGUCAGUAUCCUGGAAAGUGGAUACAAUGCAAGUUUUUGUUACACUUCCCUGCUCUUUGAUCGAAAAUCCAGGGUUCUAAAACAACAGGUUAAAGUUUGCUUUUCCAAUUGGUAUUAGCUUGAGGCCUGACCUGCUUGGCAUGACGUACGCCAUACACUUUGAUUUGGUGUGAACGUGCUUCUCGAGGAAACUUGGAGAAACCUAUGAUUUGGUCACCACGAUAGAAAGUUGCUUAGAAUACUCAUUGCCCAAAAGAUGAUCAAGUACCAAUCAUUCAUUUUGAAUUUCAUGGUAAUCUCUCUCAAGGAGAAGGCCUAUGAUGCAUUAUUGGGCCAAGGCUGAUGAUAACUGGAAGAAGAAAAUAUCAUUUAUCAAAAUUAAAAGUUGGAAAUACAUCAUAUUUUUGAAGAAUUGUUUAGUAAAUGAAAAAGUAGCCUCAUUUGAUGGAUAACCAAAUUCAAAAUUUAAUGAAGAAUGCUCAAAAGGCAAAAAUUGAGGUUC